rnacentral:rRNA from 1 species
ACGGAAGGCAGCAGUGAGGAAUAUUGGUCAAUGGGCGAGAGCCUGAACCAGCCAAGUAGCGUGAAGGAUGACUGCCCUAUGGGUUGUAAACUUCUUUUAUGCGGGAAUAAAAAAGUCCACGUGUGGGCUCUUGCAUGUACCGCAUGAAUAAGGAUCGGCUAAUUCCGUGCCAGCAGCCGCGGUAACACGGAAGAUCCGAGCGUUAUCCGGAUUUAUUGGGUUUAAAGGGAGCGUAGGCGGGCCUUUAAGUCAGUGGUCAAAGCGUGUGGCUCAACCAUACCACGCCGUUGAUACUGGAGGCCUUGAGUGCACAUAAGGAUGGUGGAAUUCAUGGUGUAGCGGUGAAAUGCUUAGAUAUCAUGAAGAACUCCGAUUGCGAAGGCAGCUGUCCGGGGUGUAACUGACGCUAAUGCUCGAAAGUGCGGGUAUCAAACAGGAUUAGAUACCCUGGUA